rnacentral:rRNA from 1 species
ACGUAGGGUGCAAGCGUUGUCCGGAAUUAUUGGGCGUAAAGAGCUCGUAGGCGGUUUGUCGCGUCUGCUGUGAAAACCUGGGGCUUAACCCUGGGCCUGCAGUGGGUACGGGCAGACUAGAGUGCGGUAGGGGAGACUGGAAUUCCUGGUGUAGCGGUGAGAUGCGCAGAUAUCAGGAGGAACACCGGUGGCGAAGGCGGGUCUCUGGGCCGUAACUGACGCUGAGGAGCGAAAGCAUGGGGAGCGAACAGGA